GCAGCGCUGUGCUCUCACUUCCUCCUAGCUUCUUUAAAAAAAAAAAAGGGGGGGGGAGAGAACAUGCCUCGUCCAACUUUUCCUUCAGUUAUUCUCUCCUCAAUCCCACUGGCAGGCUAUUGCCGAAAACCUACUACACUCCAGUUUUGUCCUUGAAUCUUGUUUCACUAUGUCGAGGAAAUGCAUCACCACAAUACAUAGCAUUUUGGCAACAAGAACCUGCUCAAGUCAUUCCAACCCUUCCAGAAAGUCCUUCCUCUGUCCAAGGAUCUGGAAGAUCAGAGCAGAUGCAUCACUGUCUUGUUUUGUAAGGAAGGAGAUGAGAGUGUCCCAUCUGAAUGCUGCCAAAUAUGCUUGUCAAGCACAAAGUUAAAAUAGAAACUCCCCACUCUGAAGAGAACCAAAACUAACAAGAAAACUAAGAGGAAAAACAAAAUAAAUGUGUAUUAAAGGAAAAGAAAUACACAUACAUAUAUUGUCCUUCCCUAGUUGAAUAGAGUCUUCAACCAGUUGAAAAGAAGAGGAAUCUGUCAACCAAUGUGACCAAACAGAAGAUCAAGACCCCUUUAGUAACAAAGUGGCAAAAUAAUUGAAAUUUGGAAAAUAAUUUCUUCUUUCCAGUUGCUUUACAUUUGGAAGUCCAGCAGCUUAAGGUUGCAGCCCACAAAAACUCAGAGUUACGGACAUGAUUGGCAGACUAAUUAUUAAAAUGGCUUUAGUGGUGAUGGUGAGGUAACAUCUCCAGCAUGCUUUGGAGGAAUACCCAGGUCAGUUAUGUAGAACAAUUCUGUCCUACAGAAAGAGAGGUCAAUAGCUAGAGAUGGGGUGGGGAUUAUUGAAGAUACAGCUGAGCUUCAUUGCCAUUGCUACUCACUGUCUAAGCUACCCAUGGAAGGCAGGAGCCUGCCCUUCCAGAGUGAUUGAUCUAUUUGUGUUUCCUUCAUCCCUAGCACAUUGUCAUUGCAAGCUCUUAAGACAUAAAUGAAAGCUGCUGUAGCUGAACUAUUUAUUAACAAUUGUUUGUUCUGUCCCUCCCUCCCUCUCUCCCCCCCUUACACAUACACACCUAUUUAUCUGUCUUAUGAAUUAAGCUGAAGAAAGAUUACUGUGACAGAGUUUGAUUACCUUUUCAUUCAGGACUACUUUGUCUUAAAAAUAUAACCUAGUAAUCUGCUUGACUACAGCUAAAAUAUUAAGUAAUUAGCUGUCACAGUCAUGAAUAUUAUUUAAAUUUUGCAAGUAUAAUUUAUUAUUAAGCAAAUGCAUAUCUCAUGUCUUUUUCAACAGUUCAUGGUUGUUAUCAAGCACUACAUGUAGACUGGAUUUGGCAUUUUUAUCCACCUUUUAAGUCUUUCCUAAAGAUCUGCAUUAGGCAGAUGUUGUAUGAUGAUGUUAAAGGUUUCAUUGCAAGAUAUUAGGUGUUUCAAGUAAAGCUGCAACUCAUUGGCAUAGUGAGAAUUCCAUCCAUAUAUUAUUCUCUUCUUGGUUUAACUUUAUUUCUUAGUUAUAAUUUUUGCCACUGAUUUUAUCAUUGUUUUAUGAUUUUUUAAAUUGAAAAUGUGUCUUAAUUAUUUCAUUUGCCAUAUUAUCAUAAAUAUUAAAAAGUCUACAAACUUUUUGCAUGAGAUUGGACCUCAUGUUACAUUUGACCUAAGUUUAUGGAUCUUAGAAUGCACCCUCAAAACUGGAGCUUUGGUUUUCCGUACUUGUGAUAUGUUAUAAGCAAAUAUCUAUGUUACUUAUAAGUACAGUAUAAAAAAAUGGGCAUGUGUAGUACUAUGAAAUCAUCCCACUUCUAUAACAGAUUAUUUAUAAAUGGUCUUAUAUAAUAAUUAAGAACUAAUGCAAUACCCUUUUCAUAUAUUUAUAUGCUUCAUUUUGUUUUAUUUUCAAUUUGCUGCAAUGUAAUUUCUCUUAUAUCUAAUCAAUCAGUCAAGCAAUUUUAAUUACUAUAAGAUGAAGCUCAGUUUCACCAGUUCCAAUAUGUGUAUUCUAUAAUUCAUAGAAGAAAAUACUGAACAAUCUACAAUGUUACAUUCCAGUUUUUAUCAUUAGUAUUUGAAACUACAACUGCCUUCUUUACCUCCAUUGGUAUUUAUGUAAUUAUUGCAUACAUACAUAUACACAGACACACAGACACACACACAGACACACAGACACAAACACACACACUGUGUGUGUGUUCUCAGUAUGUAUAUAUCUAAACAAAUACAAUCCAUUGAUACACAUGAAAAGGUUCCCAUGUCAUCUAGUCCACUAUUUAUAGAUGUGGGAAAAAGAAAUAGAAUUUGUAAUAAUCAAGAAACAACACUUGAGGAAAUGCUACAAAUUAUCUGGAAUAUUUAAAAUGUAAUUUUUGCAUUGUGUACCAUCCGUUUGGAUGGUAGUUAAGGCACUGGCCUAGAAACCAGAAGUGAACUCUAGGUCUUCUAUAAGCAUGAGAAUGGUUGGGAGGGUUUGGGCCAGCCAUUUUCUCUCAGCCCAACUCACCGCAUAGGAGGCAGGAAUAUUAAUGUUUUAUGCCUUGAAUUGACCUCCUGCCUUCCCCCCAAAAGCAGAGUAAAAAUACAAUAAUAAUAGUAAUAGUAUUAUUACAAGUAGUAGGCCCCUUGGGUAAUUCUAAAACAUCUGAAUCACUACUUGAACAUCGUCAUCGUUACAAAAAUCAUCAUCAGUCAGUUGCAAAAGACAGCUUUACUUGGAACAGCGUACAUCCUGCAGUGAUACUGGUAACACCAUCAAACAUCCACAUCUGCACAUCCCAGAUCCUGACUUGAUAGAUGGUUAAAACAUCACUUGCAGAUUUUGAGUUUCUAAGAUUUCUUAACAUUGUAAGCUGCCCAGAAUUGCUUCAAAAUGAGAUGGGGAGAAAAUAAAUAUAAUAAAUAAAAUAAAAAUAUUUUGCAGCUCAUGUAUCAUGGUUGCAAAAUCUAGAUGACUAGUACUUGGCAGGAAAGAUACAAAAAAUGUUAGUUGCCAUUCUGUGGUCCUCCAGACUGUUGCAGUUCCUGUAUGUUAACCCCCAUAUUUAUCUGGCAAUUUUGCAGCUUCUUUGUAAUCUCUAAUAAAAAUCCUCAAUAAGGAUCCCCUCCCCCCAAAGUUAACAGAACUUCUGCUGUUGAAAAUGAAAACCAGUGUGACAGUUUCAUUUACAACUUGCAUGAACUUUGCUUGAAAGUAAGGCAUGAAUUGAUGGAGUGAAGAAUAGAAAGAAGAUGUAAACCUUGAGAACUGGGUAAAGAGAAGGAAGGCUAGAGAGAGCGUUUAAAUCCACCAACAUUUUGAGUAAAUACUUCUAGAAGCAACAUUGACUGGUCUAUUGGAUAUGAUAUUUUCCUAAAUCUUGAUUGCUAGGUCUCUUAACUAGAGCAAGGAUUUGCUACGUUGUUAAUCCCUGUUUUCUAUUUUCAGGCAAUGAAUGAUGGAUCCCUCUUCUGCUCAGAAAAAAAACUCAACAGCAAAGCCCUGUGUAUACAAACUUAAUAUAUGCUCAUAAUCAUAAUAUGCAUAAAAUAUAAGAAGUUGCAUUUUAAAUAGUUAAUCUGCUCUUUGCUGUGAAAACUUAUGAAGAUAUAUACUGGAGAAUAUGCCUGAAGCACCCACAGUGUUUUUUUUAAAAAAUAUUUUGCAUUAAUUCUUAUAUUAGAUCCUUUUUUGUUUUCUAAUAACCUGCUGUUGUCCUUUACAACAAAAUACUAGAUUGAAUAAAGAUUGUAUGUUUCUUUGGUAUCUGCUUCUACUUGGAAGACUGAGAGAGAGAGAGAGAAAAGAAAGAGACAAAAGCUUCAAUUGUUUCUUGGCUAUCAUUGUGUUCUCAUUCUUUUAGUAAGUUCACACAAUAAUAUUUGAAUAAAACCGGAACAAAUUCUACUUGAGAACUGCAUGGAACUAAUGAGGAACAAAGAGACCAUGUUAUACUCUUUGCUGUCUGAACAAUGGCCUUGUUGCUGUUUGAUCUUUUAUUUUGUUGAUUUCCUUCUUUUUUGAAAGAAGCAAGUUAUAUUAUAGUUCAAGGUUCUGUUCACUGCUUCAACCCUGACAACCUGCAGAUUUAAACAGUUAAUAAAGGAAUCACCAUUUGUCUUCCACAUACUGGACUCUACUAAUAUUUAUCUUAGAAACAAUGAAACCUUUUUUGUGUGUAGAUGCAUGAUUCACUUUGAGGUAUGUACACAAUGUUGUGUGUCAUUGAAAAUUCUAAUCUCAGGUCAAGUUUGCUACAAGUUUUUGUAUUUUCUUUUAACUUUGAUUUGGCUCCUGAUUACUAAUAUUGAGCAUCCUUUUAAAUUAACAUUGAUACUUGUGGUUUCACUUUUAGAAGUAUAUGAAAAUACAGGAUUUCCUGAAACAAAUAUAUGAAUAUAUAAGAGUCUGUGUAUGGUAGGCAGAAUGAUGUUUAAAGUGAGAUGCUAUUCUGUGUUUGAAGGAUUCUAGAUCUCAAUUCAUUUUUUUAAAAAAUCUAAUAAAUUAAUAGUAGCUCUGACAUCUGUAAAAUUCUGGAUAUCCCUUAAACUAUUAAUCACAUUUCCAAUCAAAAUGUGUUUUUUUCAUUACACUGGUAUCUUGCCUUUUGAGACUAUGUUCUUCUCUGACCCUUUUUUUUUCAAUACCAGCAACUUUAUGAAAAAUUAGGCUAUCAUCAGUCAGUGUACUUGUAUAGUAGAUUGUAGAUCAGAUUAAGUCCAACACUUAACCACAACAUCAGAUUGGUGUAUGUGUUUGUCUACAGCUAUACCUGCACCUACCUUCCUAAUCUUACUAUGCUGCCUCCUUAUGGUGCUGUAUUGGAAGAUGUUCCUCAAAGGGAUAGGUGAAGGAUGCCAAAGUAUAAAAUACAGGACUGUAUUUUACUAAGAUGUAAUUGACAAUGAGCCUCAGCAGAUGGCAUUCAACAUGCUGGUCAAAAAGACGCAGAAUCUUUCAGAAUAUUAAAGGAGUUUAUGAUAUGGCUAAAUUAAAAUGUUGAGAAUGACCAGUUUCUGAUAUUGCCAUGAAGGAAAAAAAAAAAAAUCUAAAGAUGCAAAAAAAGGACAGCGGGAACAUGUAUUAUAAAAAAAAUGAACAUGGGAAAGCUCAACCUAGUAAAAAAUGAAAUGAAUUUUUUAAGUUGAUAUUUUAUGUUUAAAUUUUAAUCUGAAAUCAACAAAGAAUGCCAUACUUGGGAAAGAAGAAAAUUAGUUGGACUACAUGUCCUAGGAAACAGAAAUGAAGGAGAAGAACAGAUCAAUUUCUGAAAAAAGUAAUGUUUUUAUUUGCUAACAAAGUCUCCAGUAACCAAAACAAUGUCUACAUAUAUGGACAUCAUGAGAUAGAAUUAACAGAAAUCAAAUUGAUCCUACUAUUGAUGAAAGGAUGUGGAAAAGCCCAUCUAUAAUAGCAAAGACAUGGUGAAGAGUUAACUGUAGAACAAACCACAAUCUGCUCAUAUGCAAAUACAUAGUUCAAACUAAAGCAGAAGAUCAAGGUCCAUCAGCUUUCAAGCAGAACAUUGGGAAUUGUUUUGAUGACUUGAACUUCAUGAAUAGGGAAUCAUUAUGGAAUGGAAUAAUAGUUCUCCAGAAUGAAUGAGAAAAGAGACCGCCAAAGCUAAGAAACAGAAGAAAGCUAGAUGUCAAAACCAAGAGUGAAAAUUGGAAGGAGAAAAUCAAAGUCCCUGCUAAAUAUAGAUGGAUUAAUUUUACCAGUCUUGGAAAAGUUAUUGUAUGCUACACAUUUAAAUAACAAAGUAACCUCCUACCUUAAGACUUACUUUAUUUUAACAAAUGACUGCUUUCAGAAACUAUGUUUAGUUCAUCAGGAAACCCACUCUUUGAUAGUACAUCUGUCAUUGGUAUUGGAUCUGGGUACUUGAGAGACCGCCUGCUGCCAAUUACCUCCCAAAGACCCAUUAGAUCA